GUGCUCACUUCAGCAGCACAUUUAUCAAACUGGAAUGAUACAGACAAGAUCAGCAUGGCUCCUGACAAGGACAACACACAAACUGGUGACACUUUCCAUAUUUUU